CCUACGGGAGGCAGCAGUGGGGAAUAUUGCGCAAUGGGGGAAACCCUGACGCAGCGACGCCGCGUGGAGGACGAAGCCCUUCGGGGUGUAAACUCCUUUCGACGGGGACGAAACUCCCGCCAGGGAUUGACGGUACCCGUAGAAGAAGCCCCGGCUAACUACGUGCCAGCAGCCGCGGUAAUACGUAGGGGGCGAGCGUUGCUCGGAAUUACUGGGCGUAAAGGGUCCGUAGGCGGCCAGGUCAGUCGGCGGUGAAAUCUCCCGGCUAAACUGGGAGGGGGCCGCCGAAACUGCCAGGCACGAGGGCCGGAGAGGCGAGUGGAAUUACCGGUGUAGCGGUGAAAUGCGUAGAUAUCGGUAGGAACACCGGAGGCGAAAGCGGCUCGCUGGACGGCUCCUGACGCUGAGGGACGAAAGCUGGGGGAGCAAACAGGAUUAGAUCCCCCGGUAUU
rnacentral:rRNA from 1 species